rnacentral:rRNA from 1 species
UACGAAGGGGGCUAGCGUUGUUCGGAUUUAGCUGGGCGUAAAGCGCACGUAGGCGGAUCUUUAAGUCAGAGGUGAAAUCCCAAGGCUCAACCUUGGAACUGCCUUUGAUACUGGGGAUCUUGAGUCCGGGAGAGGUGAGUGGAACUGCGAGUGUAAGAGGUGAAAUUCGUAGAUAUUCGCAAGAACACCAGUAGCGAAGGCGGCUCACUGGCCCGGUACUGACGCUGAGGUGCGAAAGCGUGGGGAGCAAACAGG